CGCCCGACCCCGGGCACCGGGACCCCGCCCCCGGCCCCGCCCCGGCCCCGCCCCGGCCCUGGGGGGCCCCCGAGCACCGGGCCCGUCCGCAGCGCCCCCGGCCCGGUGCCCCCCGGUACCCCCCGGUGCCGCUCCCGGCUCGGUGCCCCCGGUACCCCCCGGUAUCCUCCGGUGCACCCCGGUGCCGCCCUCAGCCCGGUGCCCCCCGGUACCCUGCGGUAUCUUCCGGUACCCCCCGAUGUCCCCCGGUACCCUCCGGUACCUCCCGGUGCACCCCGGUGCCGUUCCCCAGCUCGGUGCCGCCGGUACUCCCCGGUGCCCCCCCUUAUCCUCCGGUACCCCCCGGUACUCCGCGGUAUCCCCCGGUACCGCUCCAGGCUCGGUGCCCCCCGGUAUCCUCCGGUGUCCCCCGGUACCUCCCGGUACCCCCCGGCACCGCUCCCGGCUCGGUGCCCCCGCUGUCCCCGCGGUGUCCCGGUGUCCCCGUCCCUCCCCACCCCACUACCGGGGUCGCUCCGGUGCCCGGCACCGCCCGGUGCCGCUGUCCGUCUGCCCUCCCCGUGUCCGUCAGUGCCCGCUCCCGGUACGGAGGAGCCCCGGGACGCAGCCCCGGUGCGCAUCCCCCCGGGGCAGGGCUCGGGACACCCCCCCUUGCCCCAAUUCCCGGUGCCGAUCCCGGUCCCGGUGCCGAUCCCCGGUGCCGGUGCCGAUCCCGAUCCCCGGUGCCGACCCCCGUGCUCCCGGUUCCGGGUCCCGGUUCCGGGUGCCGGUCCCGGUGCCGAUCCCGGUGCCGACCCCCCACCCCUCCCGGCGCGGUUCCCGUUGCCCUCCGGUACACCGGCACUCACUGACCUGUGCUGCCGGUAUCGGGGGCUGCCAUCCUCGGGGCCGUUCCGUACCGAACCGAACCGUUCCGUGCCGCGCCGAGCCGAGCCGUUCCGUGCCGUGCCGCCGCCCGCCCGCCCCGGCUGCUGCGCGCCCGCCGCCCGCCCGGCACCGGGCGCGGCUGCGCACUGGGCCG
rnacentral:lncRNA from 1 species